GAUGAACGCUGGCGGCGUGCCUAAUACAUGCAAGUCGAGCGAACAGAUAAGGAGCUUGCUCCUUUGACGUUAGCGGCGGACGGGUGAGUAACACGUGGGUAACCUACCUAUAAGACUGGGAUAACUUCGGGAAACCGGAGCUAAUACCGGAUAACAUUUGGAACCGCAUGGUUCUAAAGUGCAAGAUGGUUUUGCUAUCACUUAUAGAUGGACCCGCGCCGUAUUAGCUAGUUGGUAAGGUAACGGCUUACCAAGGCAACGAUACGUAGCCGACCUGAGAGGGUGAUCGGCCACACUGGAACUGAGACACGGUCCAGACUCCUACGGGAGGCAGCAGUAGGGAAUCUUCCGCAAUGGGCGAAAGCCUGACGGAGCAACGCCGCGUGAGUGAUGAAGGGUUUCGGCUCGUAAAACUCUGUUAUUAGGGAAGAACAAACGUGUAAGUAACUGUGCACGUCUUGACGGUACCUAAUCAGAAAGCCACGGCUAACUACGUG
rnacentral:rRNA from 1 species